AGUGAACGCUGGCGGUAGGCCUAACACAUGCAAGUCGAACGGCAGCACAGUAAGAGCUUGCUCUUACGGGUGGCGAGUGGCGGACGGGUGAGGAAUACAUCGGAAUCUACUUUUUCGUGGGUGAUAACGUAGGGAAACUUACGCUAAUACCGCAUACGACCUACGGGUUAAAGCAGGGGAUCUUCGGACCUUGCGCGAUUGAAUGAGCCGAUGUCGGAUUAGCUAGUUGGCGGGGUAAAGGCCCACCAAGGCGACGAUCCGUAGCUGGUCUGAGAGGAUGAUCAGCCACACUGGAACUGAGACACGGUCCAGACUCCUACGGGAGGCAGCAGUGGGGAAUAUUGGACAAUGGGCGCAAGCCUGAUCCAGCCAUACCGCGUGGGUGAAGAAGGCCUUCGGGUUGUAAAGCCCUUUUGUUGGGAAAGAAAAGCAGCAGGUUAAUACCCCGCUGUUCUGACGGUACCCAAAGAAUAAGCACCGGCUAACUUCGUG
rnacentral:rRNA from 1 species